GGGGCGGUAGCUCAGUGGUUAGAGCGUAGGUCUCGUAACCGGAAGGUCCCGGAAUCGAAUCUCACUAGAGGCA
rnacentral:tRNA from 1 species